CACCAUAACCCGGACGGGUGGAAGCGGCUCCACAGCAGGACGGGGGACUGGCUAAAGCCGGAACGAGGGCCGUAGCCCACUAGGGCGGGCGGCACGGGUUCUCUUGAUUCACAGGAGAUCACCAACUCUCUGUACUUCAACAUACUGAACAGUAUACUUACCUAUCUCUACCUUUUCUCUAUUAAUCUGUCCUUAUCUUUUGUAAGUACCUCAGACAAUGCUAGCAAACACGAGGAGAGGAAAACUUUAACACUGUCUGACCCUGCCGGAUUACGUGCAUGACGGAUUGACAGAUCA